GAUCCUGGCUCAGGAUGAACGCUAGCUACAGGCUUAACACAUGCAAGUCGCGGGGCAGCAUGGUCUUAGCUUGCUAAGACUGAUGGCGACCGGCGCACGGGUGAGUAACGCGUAUCCAACCUUCCCCUUAGUAGGGCAUAGCCCGGCGAAAGUCGGAUUAAUACCCUAUGUUCUUCGUAGAUGGCAUCUGAGACGAAGCAAAGGUUAGCGCUAAGGGAUGGGGAUGCGUCUGAUUAGGCAGUCGGCGGGGUAACGGCCCACCGAGCCUUCGAUCAGUAGGGGUUCUGAGAGGAAGGUCCCCCACAUUGGAACUGAGACACGGUCCAAACUCCUACGGGAGGCAGCAGUGAGGAAUAUUGGUCAAUGGGCGAGAGCCUGAACCAGCCAAGUAGCGUGCAGGACGACGGCCCUACGGGUUGUAAACUGCUUUUAUGCGGGGAUAAAGUGCCCUACGUGUAGGGUAUUGCAGGUACCGCAUGAAUAAGGACCGGCUAAUUCCGUGCCAGCCGCGGC
rnacentral:rRNA from 1 species